AGUGAACGCUGGCGGUAGGCCUAACACAUGCAAGUCGAACGGCAGCACAGGAGAGCUUGCUCUCUGGGUGGCGAGUGGCGGACGGGUGAGGAAUACAUCGGAAUCUACUCUGUCGUGGGGGAUAACGUAGGGAAACUUACGCUAAUACCGCAUACGACCUACGGGUGAAAGCAGGGGACCUUCGGGCCUUGCGCGAUUGAAUGAGCCGAUGUCGGAUUAGCUAGUUGGCGGGGUAAAGGCCCACCAAGGCGACGAUCCGUAGCUGGGCUGAGAAGAGGAUCAGCCACACUGGAACUGAGACACGGUCCAGACUCCUACGGGAGGCAGCAGUGGGGAAUAUUGGACAAUGGGCGCAAGCCUGAUCCAGCCAUACCGCGUGGGUGAAGAAGGCCUUCGGGUUGUAAAGCCCUUUUGUUGGGAAAGAAAUCCAGCUGGCUAAUACCCGGUUGGGAUGACGGUACCCAAAGAAUAAGCACCGGCUAACUUCGUGCCAGCCGCCGCUGUAA
rnacentral:rRNA from 1 species